rnacentral:misc_RNA from 1 species
AAGAAGAAGAAGAAGGAAGAAGAAUCGUACAAGUUUGUAGUUGAAGCUAUAAGCGCCUUCAUCAGUAAAAGGAAGAGGAAGAAAUAGUUGCAGAUGGCCAAUAUUGAUAUUGAGGGAAUUCUUAAGGAACUUCCUAAUGAUGGGCGUAUCCCCAAAACGAAAAUUGUUUGUACUUUGGGACCUGCUUCCCGAUCGGUGCCUAUGAUCGAGAAGCUUCUUAGGGCUGGUAUGAAUGUUGCUCGUUUCAAUUUCUCUCAUGGUACACAUGAGUAUCAUCAAGAGACUUUGAACAAUCUCAGGACUGCCAUGCAGAAUACUCAAAUCCUUUGCGCCGUCAUGCUUGAUACUAAGGGACCAGAGAUUCG